rnacentral:tRNA from 1 species
GUAUGGGCCCGAAAGCUUUGACGACUUGGGGGUCGUGUACGGAAAUUGGGCCCCCCAACCAA